GAUGAACGCUGGCGGCGUGCCUAAUACAUGCAAGUCGAGCGAACAGAUGAGGAGCUUGCUCCUCUGACGUUAGCGGCGGACGGGUGAGUAACACGUGGAUAACCUACCUAUAAGACUGGGAUAACUUCGGGAAACCGGAGCUAAUACCGGAUAAUAUAUUGAACCGCAUUGUUCAAUAGUGAAAGACGGUUUUGCUGUCACUUAUAGAUGGAUCCGCGCCGCAUUAGCUAGUUGGUAAGGUAACGGCUUACCAAGGCAACGAUGCGUAGCCGACCUGAGAGGGGGAUCGGCCACACUGGAACUGAGACACGGUCCAGACUCCUACGGGAGGCAGCAGUAGGGAAUCUUCCGCAAUGGGCGAAAGCCUGACGGAGCAACGCCGCGUGAGUGAUGAAGGUCUUCGGAUCGUAAAACUCUGUUAUUAGGGAAGAACAAAUGUGUAAGUAACUAUGCACGUCUUGACGGUACCUAAUCAGAAAGCCACGGCUAACUACGUG
rnacentral:rRNA from 1 species